ensembl:lncRNA
UUUUUUUUUUUUCUUUCCAUUACUCUACCCCCAAAUUUCCAAAUUACACUUUUAAAAACACACUAUCCUUUCUGUGUGUAAUAAUUAAGAAACACAAUAUAAGCUCAAGAAACAUAUCAUUUUCUUCAGUCUUGAAUUAGCCAGUGACUUGAAUGGUAAGCCUUCAAAAAUAUAUAGUAAAUCUAAUUUUAAGAAGUCAACUCUGCUUAGCUACAGCUGCAGGAGUUCCAGGCAGACCUUUCUCAUUGAUGAGGACCUUCAUACUUAGUGUUGUAUUUAGUUCUCACUGCAAUCCUGGAAGCUGUUAUUAUGAUCUUGACUUUGUAGAUGGAGACUGUUGAUCAAAGAAACUAAAUCACCCAGCUGGUGAGUGGGAGACCCAGAACUCUAAAAAUGGUUUUAUCAGCUUGACUUCAUUGAUUCCUCCCUUUCAACACAAUUCCUAAUUCUUCUCAUGGAGAAAUUGGCUGUCUCCCAGUGGGUUCAAGCUCCCCCUUCCAGGGUAGCAUUUUAGCCUGGAGCGGCUGCCAGACCAGGGGCUACAUUCUCAGCCCUAUGCCCUUUUGUGUGGGGCCAAAUGAUGAGUGCUCAGUGGAAUAUGAGCAGAAGUGUUAUGUGUCUGAAGCACUCUCUCCUUCCCCAAUCCAUUGGCUUGUAUUUUUGUCCAGGGUGUCCUUGGAAGGCAUGGCUAAUGAUAGUGGAGCUGUUGAGUCUGGUGCCUGAAUAACAGUGGAGCAACUGUGCCUUCAACCCUUUGGCUUUUAUAUCCACUAUUAUAUGGGAAAAAAAAAAUUUUCUUGUGUAAGUCAAUGAAAUUGUGCUAUCUGUCUGCAAACCUCACUAGUAGUACCCCGGCUAAAUGAAUAUACUUUUAAUUGGAGGACAGAAUUCAGAUUUCUCUUACUCUUCAUCAGCUCUCUAUAAAUACCUGUUUACUAGCUCAGUGACUCUAAUUUUACUAAAUGGAAAUUACUCGGAAAUGACUCAUUUCCCAAUGAGCUCUCUUUCUGUCCCCUGAUUUUCUACUAGUUUAAGGUUAAUGAUAAUUACUAUCCUAUAUUUCUCUGUAUGGUACUCAAACAAAAGUGUCCCAAAAGCACAUUUAUGGCAUAGUUAUCUCUAAAAUAGAUAACCUGACAAAAAAAUUUUUAAGGACUCCCUUCUUUUAAACCCUUCCAAGCACUCCCUAUCUUCAAAAACAUUUUUAAGAAAAAUUUACAUCUCUGGUUGGGAAAGGAAUGGUGGUCUGGAAUCAAUCAGUAAGGAUUUAUUGUUUCCUAGGAAUAUAGUUCUUACAAGAGCUUCCUUGCAGGUUGAUGACUCUCAAAGGCUUACCACUGAGGAUGCUCCCUCAGGAACACACAGGACCUGUUGUCUGGGCACUGGUGCCAAAAUGUGGCCUAAAAUAUAUGUCAAGAGCUCACCUCACCCACAUUUCCUCACCACACAGAGGGUCUGAGGCUUCCACCCUUUUCAUUCCCGUGAUGUGGUUGCUCCAAGAGCAAGGAGUGGAAGAAAUGAUGGUUUUGAGAGAGGUACCUAAAAAAUUAUUUUGACGAUUCCCUCCUCCACUCUAAGCUUUAAACUUUCUCUCUCCCCGUAAUGUCAAGGUGUUGCUCCUCUUAAUAGUUCGAGUCUAAAACCUGAAUCAAAAAUCUGAAAAAAAAAGUAAAGUUCUGCCAAAAAAACAAUCCCCAUAGCAAAUGAUAAAUACCCCAAGAGCUUUUUGGAAAAAAUCCUGAAAGCAGAGUUUGGUCACUAGAGUAAAUCCCCAUAGAAAAAGAAAUAAAUCUCUGCGACAUCUGCAAAUGUGCACCAUUUCCCUUAAACACCUCUUCCUGUCCACUUUCCACACCUCCUUGCCCCAUUUCCCAAUGCUCCUUUUGUUCUAUGUUUUUUUGGCCUUCAAGGGAUGACUCAGGCAGCAGAUGGUAUGAGGAAAAUCAAGGGUAUUGCAUGCAGCUGUGUGUAAACAUAUUGGUGAAUUAAAACUGCUUGUCUAGGAUCUGAAAUAAAAAUCAGUGUUAGCAAAAAGAUGGAUGCUUUUUUUCCACGCCUUAUUCAUUCAUGUGCUCAACAAGCAUUUGCCAUUCAUCUAUGGUGUUAGCACUGUUUACAGCAGUGGAUAAAUAAAAAUAAAAGAUGUGGUCUCUGUUUCCCUAGCCACGUACAAGUUAAGUGCUUAAGAACUUCAAACAAACUGUACAACUGAAAUGUAAGGAAUGAGACAUUCAACUAAUUAAACAGAAAAGAUCCACAUUAGAACACAUCAUGCAUAUGAGCCAGGAAAAGUUUGUUCUUAUUUUAUUUGUUUGUUUGUUUGCUUUUUUGGAGGAGGACUACCCUAUCAUAGAUUAUCAGAAAUCAUGUGUUAUAUGACAAGUGGAGUAUAACACCUGAAGAGAUGUCCUUGGGCUGCAAGUAUCAUGAGUCUCACUCUAAUUAUAGCCUGGAGUUCAGAUUUGCUCUCCUCCACUUAAGGGGUAAAUAGGGACACUUCUAGAGGAGAUUCACAGAGGUGAGGAAGGCAUGCAAAAGAGCACUCCAGUGGAGCUGAUGAAAGCAACCCUAGGCCCCAUAGCUGGAGUCACAUUCAGCUCCACAGUGGAUCAAAGCAUGUUCCCCCAAAGAGUCCCAAAGGGACUGUCCAGAUUGAACUUCCUCUACUAAACUUCUUCCCUGCUCCUUUGCUGUCAGAAUGGGCCAAUCCAGAGCUGCCCACAUAAGUCACCUUGAACUACACCUGCUUUGCAUUAUUGCCUCUAGCUUCUCUUCCCUGGAGAUUCCUCAGACAUCUGGACUGUAUUGUGGCAUGACACACUUCUCAUUUUCCCCACAAACAUUUCUGAUUGAAGGCAAAUGACACCUGACCUUAAUCUCACCUUUAGGAAUCUGUGCUAAGUCUGAUUUAGCACAACUAGGUUAUAGUAUGGAUGUUAUUCCUAUCUUCUAACUCUAUGGGUCAUGGGUUAUUUUAUACAACUCCAGCUGUUGUACAUUGCCAGGGAGAUCAGAACCAGAUUGAAAUGGUGUUUAAGUUAAACAUCUAGAUAAUUAGACCUUGAACCCAACUAUUAGGAAAAGCUACACCUUUAGAAAUCCUUAAGAACAGCAUAGACACUCACCUGUCUUAGAUGUUUAAGUACGAUUCUCCAUAAAAGAUGAUUUCUUAGUGUUUCCCCCAACACUGUCACCGCAUAUUCUAAACAUGCAGGUGCUAGCAUUUAUCCUAGCUUUUACUUCUUCUUUUGUCCACUUGUUUGGGGAUUGUGCGAAUGAAAGGGAGGUGGAAAAUUGGCCAAUAAACUGUAGCUAGCAUAUAGCUCUUCUAUAGGGCUAGAAAUGGCUGAGUGAUUUUAAAAUUUGAUUAACUCUGGCUUCAUUUAAAUGCAUGUCAUUGAUUUGAAAUGAAAUUCAUUGGCUAGAUCCUUUCGGCAUCAUCUUCAAUGUCUUCCAUCACCUUCAUCAAUAUCACCAUCAUCAUCAUUAAGCCACACUGGGCUCUCACUCUAUGAUGGGUUCUGUGCUAAGUGCUUUACAUACAUUACCUACUAGAAAUCUCACAACAAUUCUAUUAGGUAGAUAUUAUUAGUGUCCCCAUUUUGCAUGUGAGGAAACUGAGACUGAGAGAGGUUAUGUGACUUGCCCACUUAAAUAUUUAUUUUUUUGGACUCACUUUUCUAACUUGGAAUCUCGUAUUUAGUGAGUGAUUCUUACAUUUAUUGAAUUUAUUUCAAGUGACUGAAACACACUUGGCCCUUUACUCUCAAAGUCUCUCUCUAUGAUGCUCUGGCCUCUCUGCUCUUUAGGUUUACUACAUUUUUCCUCUUUUCAACUUGCUAUCUUCUCUCAAUCACACUUUUUUUUGUUCUCAUUACUCCAUGUGGAUGUCUAGACAACUUUCCCUCCAUCCUUCUCCUCUGCCUGACUUACCUGAAGUACAAAGCAUAUGUCAUGGGUAGAGAGAAGCACUCUCUCAUACAGGCCCAUUUUAGANAGGGGCUUUUAUUUGCAAGAAGUCUGAAGGGCAAAAAGAGAGAUUUCCCCUGCUUGCAAAAACUAUUGGGAAAGUUUCCAAACUCCCAAUGUAGUAGGAAAAAAGUCCAACUAUCUGGAGCAUUUUAUGCACCUGACACCAUCAUAUUAGUGGCAUCAGAUUACAGACUCAGUACAGACUUCUACCACAUGCUGUUGCAAUUAACCACAUGGGAAUGUGCAGGCCAGGACCCCUAGCAGUUAUUCAAUCACUGCAACAGUGCAACCUACAGAGCAGUGGAAACUAAAAAUGCCCUUGGAACAUAAUGCUAUAUUUCAUUAAGAAAUGAAAUUGUGACUUUCCUGAGAGUGACAGCUCAGGCAGGAAGAGAUGGUGGCCUGGAUUUCUACUUAUCACCAGUGUAACUGCUCUAAUCCUCCAGUUCCGUGUCAGGUCUUUGAUAAAGAACCCCCAAUGAAACUUCAAGAUGGGUUGACUGAGGCAUGGCCUAAAACAGUGUCUUUAGAUUCGUAGAUGGCUAAUCAUUCAUGAUAACCCCGUUGUGGGAUGGGUAUCAAGAAUUUGCUAGUCCUUAAUCCAGACACUGCAUUGAGACCAAGAGAGGUCAGUUCAGUCAGAAAUGCCUAUGGUACCUGCCCCAAGACAUCUAAAAAAGCACCUAAGAACUGUGCUGCUGGAAAUUACUCCCUAGUUUCACCUUCUCCAAAGACCCCUGCACCCUUAAGCUCCUCCUGUGCUGUUAGGGGCUCCCAGCCACAUCUCCUUUCUGUGUUCAAGAUCUGGACCUACUCUCCUCUCUGUCACCUGAACCUGUUGAAGGCCUCUUUCCAAACACAUGCUCCUGACUCGGUUUUGGAACUGCUACCAUAUACCUAGUGAAACUGAAAUUUGAAGCCAUUAUUUUCUGACUGAUCUUAACCAUUUUCUAUUUUAUUCACAACAGAGUAUAUUGACUAACAAGGCUGCUUAAUGAUAUAAUAUUAGAAAGUAAAGCAAUAAAGCAACAAUUUACAAGUCCUGUAAUGAAGUCCUUUCUUUUGUCUCCUGAUCAGCUAAAGGCUUUGCAUAGCCUUCAAAAUAUGUAUGAGUUUAGCUCUGCAGAGAAACUCUGUUCUGUGCAACCAUUAUAUAAACAAUGCCAAUUGUCAAAUUGUAGGUUCAGGAAUAGGCACUGAUCAUGAAGAUGGUCUAAGAGUGGACAGGUUACUAUCUCCAAUUAGACUAUGUCCAUGCCUAAAUGCAAAUAACAAAUAAAUUACCAUAGGGUCUGGCUUCAAGGUAGAUGCCAAUUACACUCUCAUUUUGAAAUAGGAGAUUUUUGGCUUGUUGAUAACAUCCCCACAAACCAUACCAACACCACCUGGAAAAAAUGAGAAUGGAGCAUAUACUUUUCCCCACUUGUCAGUAGAUAUCUAAGUAUCUUAGCAAGGACAGAAUUCACAUUAUGGCCCCCUAUUGGCAUGUAAUGUGGCAGAGACAAUGCUAUGUGUUCUUGAAAUCUCCUUUCUUUUUUCUUCUAGAACUUUAAAAACUAGACCACAUUUUCCAGUCUCCUCUGAAGUCAGAUGAAACCAUAUGACUAAGUUACAGCCAGUGAAAGGUGAGUAGUAACGAGUGAGGCAGUGCUAGACCCAGCCUCUCACCUCCUGUGCCCUCCAUGACUUUCUCUCCUUACCCUCACUUUACUGUGACAUGAGCAAGAAAUGAAUUCUCCUUUUCUCGAACGUCCCCUCAAAUAUCAGCAGCUUGUUACAACAUUCAUCCUGAUCAACAAAUGUACUUCCCCGUGUUCAGGAAGGUUCACUGAGAACCAGUGAGAUAACUGGCACAGCUAAUGCCAAGACACGUAUAAAAAAAAUAAAUUACCAUGGGGUUUUGUUUCAAGGUAGAUGCCAAUUACACCCUCAUUUUGAAGUAGGAAAUUUUUGGCGUACCACUGUUAAGAAAUAUCUGUUUUUCUUACCAUCUUCCUGUUUUCCUUCCCGCGUAACAACAUCAACAUUCCUUGCAGGGCUGUGCUCUUUCCACCCACCUUUGUGGCCUGAUGGGACCCCACUACUCUGUACAGGACAUUCUGCAACCACUCAGUGGUUUUCGUCGGAGUGAAUUCAAACAAAAGGAAUGUGGUGAUGCAGGCAGUAAAGUAAUCUCAGCCCCCUGGGUUCCUUGGCCUUUCACAUAGAGCGUGUGUCUUCAACCAAAGGACCCUGCAUGAGUGUUCAGAGUAUGGGAGAGAGGCAGGGACUUAAAACAGAUGAGGGUUUUAAGUUCAGCCUGUGCUCAACAGUUCAAUUCAAUUUAGAGACUUCCCAAAACCUUUCUGAAGUUACAAAAGAG